GCCCGACUCGAUUCAGGACCAAACAACUUUUCGCGCCAAUACGAAUAAGCGUUGGACAGAGCGUCGGAAAUGUCUUCUGCUAAGUCAGUUGUUCCAUAUCAAGAGACAGGCAGAGAAGCGGGCUAUGGAUGGUACCUCGGAAGCUCUAGUAGUGAAUCUAUUCGUAAUUACCAGAUGCUCUGUGUGCCUUAUGAAAAUUCAAGAGCAAAAAAUUGACCCUGAGAGACGUUCGGUUUACCCAGACCUCGACCCAGACUGCGGUGUUAUCUAUUCCGGCCAAGGUGAGAAGGGAGGUGAACAACAACCCAGGAAAAAAGAAGCCGAAUCAACCGCUGCCACAACCUCCGGGCGAUGAUGACGCCCAUGGCAAUCAGAUGGUCAUCAAGAGGAACCACGGCGGCAGAAGCAGUUGCUCUAAAACCCCUGACCAACGUACGAACAGUUACCAGAUCUGCUGAACCAAGCCAUUCCGGCCACGCCGCCACGACAGCUGCAGCAAGCGCAGUAGGAAGCCCCACCACGGAACAUCCGGCCUGGGCCAAUGAAACAGUGGAGUAUAUAAGUGUAAUCUAUGGCAUACCUGUUGGCAAACACUACAUAUUAUGUUUUGAUUUACAUAGAUAAAGAAUGCAAUAACCCGCAUAACCAUGAACCAUA